rnacentral:ncRNA from 1 species
GGAAAAUCAUCAAAGAGGUGUUGUCAUGGUUUAAGCCCCUCAAGCAGUUCACUACACUGACUGGCUCAACUUGUGCCUACCCUGCAGGCGCAGGUAACCUGUUGAGUCCAAUUCGUGAUGGGGAUCGGGGAUUGCAAUUCUUCCCGGUGAACGAGGAAUUCCCAGUAAGUGCAGGUCAUACGCUCGUGUUAAGUCCCUGCCCUUU